UACGUAGGUGGCAAGCGUUGUCCGGAUUUAUUGGGCGUAAAGAGCGUGUAGGCGGCCAGGUAGGUCUGCUGUGAAAACUCGAGGCUUAACCUCGAGCUGUCGGCGGAAACCAUCUGGCUAGAGUCCGGAAGAGGAGAAUGGAAUUCCCGGUGUAGCGGUGAAAUGCGCAGAUAUCGGGAAGAACACCCGUGGCGAAGGCGGUUCUCUGGGACGGUACUGACGCUGAGACGCGAAAGCGUGGGGAGCGAACAGG
rnacentral:rRNA from 1 species